CAACGGUGGCGACAGCUGGAGCGUGGGCGACGGUGGCGACAGCUGGGGCGUGGUAGGUGGUGGCAACCUUGGUCACGGCUGGGGCAGCAGCGUAGGUGGCGACUGGGGCAGCGGCGUAGGUGGCCACUGGGGCGUGG